rnacentral:rRNA from 1 species
GUGCCAGCAGCCGCGCGGUAAUACCCGCAGCUCAAGUGGUGGCCACUAUUAUUGAGCCUAAAGCGUCCGUAGCCGGUCUUGUAAAUCUCUGGGUAAAUCCCAUCGCUCAACGGUGGGAAGACUGGAGAGACUGCAAGACUAGGGAUCGGGUGAGGUAAGAGGUACUCCUGGGGUAGGGGUAAAAUCCUGUAAUCCUGGGGGGACGACCGGUGGCGAAGGCGUCUUACUAGAACGACUCCGACGGUGAGGGACGAAGGCUAGGGGAGCAAACCGGAUUAGAUACCCGGGUAGUCCUAGCUGUAAACGCUGCCCACUUGGUGUUGCCCUUUCGUAGGGAAGGGGCAGUGCCGGAGCGAAGGUGUUAAGUGGGCCGCUUGGGGAGUAUGGUCGCAAGGCUGAAACUUAAAGGAAUUGGCGGGAGAGCACCGCAACGGGAGGAGCGUGCGGUUUAAUUGGAUUCAACGCCGGAAAACUCACCAGGAGAGACCAUGGUAUGAGAGUCAACCUGAAGAGCUUACUCGAUUACAUGGAGAAGUGGUGCAUGGCCGUCGUCAGCUCGUACCGUAAAGCGUUCACUUAAGUGUGAUAACGAGCGAGACCCCCAUCCACAUUUGCUAAUAUAAUCGCGAGAUUAUAUGCACUAUGUGGAGACU